rnacentral:lncRNA from 1 species
GGGUUUAGGGUCUAGGAUUUAGGUUUAGGGUAUAUGAUUUGGGUUUCGGGUCUAGAGUUUGUGUUUAAGAUUUAGGGUAUAAGAUUUGGGUUUAGGGGUUAGGGUUUAGAUUUAUGGUUUAAGGUUUAGGUUUAGAAUUUAUGAUUUAGGGUUUUGUUAGUAGUGUUAACGUUACUAAAAUUGGAGGUCAUUAUUUUUUAUUAUUGUUUCAAUUUUAAAAAAAAAUAUUAAUAUUUUUUAAUUAAUUUAGAUGGCAUUUUGAUUAGUGAUAGAAGUUAUGGUGAAUUUAAACGUUCACUUUAUAGGAUGAACCUAAGUUUUAUUAUUUGUUAUAUACCAGUGCCAAGCCCCCGUGCAAGCGCGAACUUUUGAUUUAAGUUGUUCUAUUUAUCCUGAAGUGUAUAAUAGUAUGACAAAUGUGUAUCUUAUUCAUGGUAGCAUAGCCACUCUCGAGCUCUGAAU